AGAAAUGUCGAUACAAACAAACAGACCAAUUUAUAUGGGUUAGUGGAUCCUGGAUUGAUGUUUCUCUGUUCUUUCCCAUAUGCAAAACAAAUUUUGGUUCACUGCUAAUGGCAGAUAGGCUCUUACUCUGCUCUAAUGACCCACCAAUCUAUUAAGAUUUUUUUUGCCCUUGCUUUGUCUCUGUAUUUCUACUCCACCUGACAGAAGGCAAAGCCUAUUUGUCAAAACCUGUAGAUGCCAUCAGUGAUGGCUGCAGGGUAUUGGCUGAGUCUAUAGAGGAUCCCACAG